GGGCUCGUAGCUCAGUUGGCUAGAGCGCGCCCCUGAUAAGGGCGAGGUCGGAGGUUCAAGUCCUCCCGGGCCCA
rnacentral:tRNA from 1 species